AAGGUGUCUGUGAAUUCAAUGGUGCUUCUAUUGUUUUACCUGCCGAUUUAAACCAUUUGCCAUGAAAUUAGGGGUGUCAAUUUGUGAUGCUUUAAAAAAAUCUUCCAGACUAUGAUUUACAGAAAUGGGAAAUAUUUGUAAAGAUGUUUGUAUCUUUACUGCCCUAGUGAUGACAUCCAACAAGAAAAUAAAAGCAUUGGUAUUUUCUGAUCAUACAUAUGAACGCCAUGUAACAGAUACAGUGAUAAUCUGCAAAAUUGGUGGAAUCCAUCUCUGAAAGCAGCCAGCAAAAUUUAUUUUUAAAUUAGGCUGUUAAAGUGUUGUUUUGCUUAGAUGCAGUUUUAAUUGGAGAAAAAUAGAAAAAAACUUUGGAAAGAUAAUGCUUUUAGUCUUGCUGCUAUAUUGAUGUACAAAACAUUUAUCGGUUGCACUUGCUUUCUUCAGCACAGGUAUAUAAAUUUCCCCUGAAUAGGUCUCCUAUUUCUUCCUAAGAAAUAAAUGCAACUUUCAUAUUUACUUCUAUUUCAUAUGACAUUGCUGUUUUUGAAGAUUCAAAAACCAGACUGUUCUAUAAUGCCUGUUUCAUCUUGGAGAUUGUGGGUCAUAAUAAACACAUACGAA